rnacentral:rRNA from 1 species
AGCGAACGCUGGCGGCAGGCCUAACACAUGCAAGUCGAACGAACUCUUCGGAGUUAGUGGCGGACGGGUGAGUAACACGUGGGAACGUGCCUUUUGGUUCGGAAUAACUCAGGGAAACUUGUGCUAAUACCGCAUGUGCCCUUCGGGGGAAAGAUUUAUCGCCAUUAGAGCGGCCCGCGUCUGAUUAGCGAGUUGGUGAGGUAACGGCUCACCAAGGCGACGAUCAGUAGCUGGUCUGAGAGGAUGACCCGCCACACUGGGACUGAGACACGGCCCAGACUCCUACGGGAGGCAGCAGUGGGGAAUCUUGCGCAAUGGGCGAAAGCCUGACGCCGCCAUGCCGGGUGAAUGGUGAAGGUCUUAGGAUUGUAAAAUUCUUUCACCGGGGACGAUAAUGACGGUACCCGGAGAAGAAGCCCCGGCUAACUUCGUG